rnacentral:rRNA from 1 species
UACGGAGGGUGCUAGCGUUGUUCGGAAUUACUGGGCGUAAAGCGCACGUAGGCGGAUUUGUAAGUUAGAGGUGAAAGCCUGGAUCUCAACUCCAGAAUUGCCUUUAAGACUGCAUCGCUUGAGUCCAGGAGAGGUGAGUGGAAUUCCGAGUGUAGAGGUGAAAUUCGUAGAUAUUCGGAAGAACACCAGUGGCGAAGGCGGCUCACUGGACUGGUAUUGACGCUGAGGUGCGAAAGCGUGGGGAGCAAACAGG